rnacentral:tRNA from 1 species
GAGGGAGACCUAAUUCGGGUAUAAGACGAAAAAAGAGUAGUCGAAACCAAGAAUCAAUCCCAAAAGGUCGGAACGAGGUAUGUGGCUUUCAAACUAGGUUCUGGGUUCACACAAGACCUGAAUCAGGAACAAGGGCUAUUAGCUCAGGUGGUUAGAGCGCACCCCUGAUAAGGGUGAGGUCCCUGGUUCGAGUCCAGGAUGGCCCACCCGCACAGGUGGCAAAAACAAAGAAGCGAGGAAUCAGCACCUUAUCUUAUCUAUAUAUAAGAGAGAAUGCUGGCUCUGAGUAAAGAGUCCAGAGGAACCUUGAAAACUGCAUAGAGCUAGGUGAAAAAGCCAAAAAAGAAGACCGCAA